AGUUCACUUACCAGCAAUCUGGUCAGCACUGAAGGACUGAAGCGGCGAGAGAGAAGGAGAAAGAAAGGAACAACUAGUACUCUUUCAAAUGCAUUGACAGAAUGAGUGUUCCCUGCUCGGAGAUUUUUAGGAAGACAUGAACAGUCUGGGUGAAUGAAAGAUAAAGAUUAAUUCCCUCCUGUUUCUUCUAGAUUCUCCUUUUUGGUUUAUGAAAAUAGAAGCAGUGCAAGUUUUCUCUGAUUAACCCCAUACAGUAUUAUCAUCUGUCUGUCUGUAUCAGAAGCUACAAUGUACAUGGAACAGAACCCAAGCAGCCCAAUGGCAGGUGGCAUUAGGCUCUCUGGGUCACAGCGUUUCACCUCCCUGCUGUGAAAAAAAAGGGUGAAAGUCAGGCAUACAACUUGUGAAACUGUACUAUGACAACCCACAAGUUUAAAUAUAUAGGCUUUGGUGAAAAUGGUAUCUGAAUCCUAUGAAAGGACUAUGUUAGCCACUCUCAUCACUGUAUUAUAUCCUCUGCUUCCAUUUUAAAAUAAAAGCCAAGAUAAUUUCAAUUGUGAAAUAGUUUGUAAAGUGAAUGUAAAGUACUUCCUAAAGCAAUGAUUUGUUUCUUUUAAAUUUCUAGUUAAAAAUGUACACAUCACCUUACCACUAAAGCACCAUGCAUCAUGCUCUCUAAAGCACAAGUAACACACAGACGGGCUCUAGCAGAAAUUCUAGUAAGUGUCCUGUCAUUAUUAGUCUCAAUUCACUGACAAGGAAGAUGGGAAGAAAUGAUGGGAGGGCAGUUUUUCAGUUUUAAGUGCACAUGUGAUAUUAAAAACAUAUGGUUGGUUUAUUCCUUUGCUAAAGCUCUUUCAUUUUCAAGAUCAAGUGAGAACUGAGGCAAAUCUAGACAUAACAUGAACAAGGUAUUAUGAAGUUGGGAGGACUAGCUUUUUUUUUUUAUUGGGGAAUAAAACUUGAUAAAAUAGGAUGGUAAUUUAAAGUUCUAAUGGUAAAAAUCAAGCAGCUUUCUCAAUCGAACUAUAAUGAGUAACAUAACAAUAAUUUGCAAAAACUUUCAUUCUAAACUGAAAAGUCCUCAACAAAUAUCAGUGCUGAAAAGAGAAUAAAGUUUUAAAGGUUUUCUACAAUGAAUUAGUGUUUCCCAAAGUAAUAUAAUUUUGGACACAUUAGAAAAAGGAGCAAACAAUAAAUUACUUAAAAAAAUAUGUAGAGAUUGCUUUGACACACAAUACCAAGUAUUUUUAUUGUGUUAAGAUGUUUGUGAAUUCAUUUUUUUGGUAAUAAAAUUGAGCUCAUGAAUAGACAAUACUUAAGAUAUAAUAGGAAGAGAAUGCAUUAACAUAAUGACUUUCUGUGGUUGAGUCAGCUUUAGUUUCUUGUGCAACUCAGUUUUAUUCUAUUCAGAUUGCCUAGACAUUGGCAUAGGAAAGCAUUUUACUUAUCAAAACACAAGAUGAGGCAGCCCAUUUUGUGUGGAAAUAACAGCUUUUGAACAGUGCUUGAUUAGGAGAUAUUAGGAACCUUGCCUCAAAAACCAUUAGCAGAUUUAUCUAGAAGAGUUCAUGUUACAUCAUAAAACAACAAGCAACUGAACACAUCCUAAACUGCUUAGUAUGACAAUUUGCCUAAGACACUCAUAUAAGCUGCUUUUCGGAGCUAUCGAUGAGUUCCACAGACAAUAAGGGUAAAAAGUUGAAGGAUAUUGAAAGCAUUCAAAGGAGAUGAUGCUGGAAACUCUACAGGGCCAAAAAAAUUUAAACAAACUUGCAUUUUACUUUGGAGUGAAAUUUCUUUUCUAUUUCCAAGGAGACUUUAACUUUUAAUUUCUCAGCCAGUCCUGGGAAUAGAGGAACCUGACAGAUGGUUGUUCCUAACAUUGUCAAACUAUUAAUUCAAACCUGACAUCUAUUUUCACUUCCUUUCCCCUUACAAGGUACCUUAUAGUAUGUGAUAAUAGAAGCUCACCUGAAUGAGUGAGUGAGAGGUUUAUGUCAUUCCUUUUUGUAAUCAGUUAUGGAAUUAUCUCUGUCUCAGUCUCCUUUUUUUUUUUUGCCAGGACUAACAAAAUAAUGGAGACUCUAGAAGUAUUAGGACAAGAUCUGUGAGUCUGAGCCUUAUUGCAAUGUGGAAAUCCAGAGGAAAGCUAAAGAGAGCCAUGCAUUUUACUUGUCCUGUUUUGUUCAAAUACUUGUAAUUUUAAGUAAAGAAUAGUAAUGUUCAUUAAUGAGAUUAAUCUACCAAUUACCGCAUACUUGAAACACAGUAGAUAAUAAAUGACAACUGUUGUUAUAACUUCCCUCUUGAAGUAAAAUACUUCCAUUUUCUUCUCAUCUUAACAUUUCCAUUAACCUUCUAAAAUCCACAAGAAUCACAAAAAUAAACUAUAAAGAGGAACCAACAUUAUCUAGUCCAUUCCUCUCAUUUUACAAAUACUGAUGUUAGCUGUCCCUGAGGCAUUAUAAUUUUACUCUGAUUUUAUCUGCCUUCCUGUCCUCAUAAGAAAGACAGAAUUACUUGUCCAUCAAAAGCUGAUUGCUAAGAGACAGCUAUUGGAAAUUCCUGUCAUAAACACCUCUCAAAGUGCAGUCCCCAGAGGCCCAUCUGCAUCAGGACACAGACGCCUGCAGAAUUCAGAUUCCUGAGUGCCGCGUAGGACCUACUGAACCAGAAUCCUUGCUGUGAGGCCCAGGAACCUACAUUCUUAUGUCAACAACACUGCCUUCAAAUCAAAUUCCACUUCCUUAAGCUGAAAACUUGGUCCUCCUCAUCUGCUUUUCUGAGUAACUGGGAAACACUGAGUCUCUAAACUACUUUCUUCAAGAUUGUAAGCCUGUCUUUGUCUCUCUAUACGGUGCUUCAGCUUUCCUUCUUGGCUUUGUCCUUCUCACCCUUUCUGACACCCAAGUUCUGUUUCUUCCAACCUCUGACUGACUGACAAAAUCACAAGUGUGAGGCAACCAGCAACGACUGUCUGAAAGGUUAAGGUCACAGAACCUAAGCCUACCCUGUGUUCCCGUGUGGAUCCCUGAGGUGGGGUAACUUUUAAAAAUGUGAUGCAUCUGGACACGUUUGAUUUCCUGUAGACAGUCUCCUUACCUCUGUUUUAUGCACUUUAUUUUGGGACUCUCAUCUUUUCCCACUGAAAUGCCAUCUCCAAAUAAACUGUGGAAGCUGAACGUGAGUAUUUCUCCUCAAGUACAGCAGCCAUCCAAACCUGUGUCAGGCAUGAAUUCCAUGAUAUGUUUACCUUGCCCGAAAUUCAAAGCACUGGUAAAAAUCCAAAAGAUACUAAGGCCAGGCUGAGGGCAUGGCAUUCUCCUGGAAGUAAUUGCUGGUGUACCUUCUGUUUGGCAGCCCUCAAAAGAGGACGCUUUGGGUCUCUAAAUGCUCCUGCCAGCUCCCAGCCAGU